rnacentral:lncRNA from 1 species
AGGCAUCCAGUCCUGAAUAUCGAUCCCCUUACAUGUACGGAUUAACACAGAAUAAUUGUUGUUUCUGAGGCGUUUUGAUAGAGAAUAUAAAUUCCAUAAUAUAAUAAGUUGAAAGAAUUUGCACGCUAGUGGGAUCAUAUAUCUAGAGCAGCAAGAGCAGACUUUCAGGACAUGUAAAACCGAGUUUAAGAAUAGGAUGUCACGAUUGCAUAUUGAUUAAAACAGCUGCCUGCCUUGCUA